UACAGAGGGGGCGAGCGUUGUUCGGAAUUACUGGGCGUAAAGGGCGCGUAGGCGGCCCGCUAAGUCGAACGUGAAAUCCCCAGGCUCAACCUGGGAACUGCGUCCGAUACUGGCAGGCUUGAAUCCGGGAGAGGGAUGUGGAAUUCCAGGUGUAGCGGUGAAAUGCGUAGAUAUCGGGAGGAACACCAGCGGCGAAGGCGGCUUUCUGGACCAAUACUGACGCUGAGACGCGAAAGCGUGGGGAGCAAACAGG
rnacentral:rRNA from 1 species